ACACACUAACACCUAAAACACACACACACUUCACGCAUAACACCAUUUUCUUUGGUGUUGGAGCUUUUGACCUCCGAUUUGAGCACCGAGACGAGCGCCGAUCAUCUUUUCGAUCACGUAUCUAAGUAGGUCCUUUUGGGAAGUAACGACUUGAGGGAGAGAGUGACGUUACUCAUUGAUACAGAGACGCAACGAGGUUGAGCUGAUGUGAUGAUGGUGCUGCAAUGAGCGGAGUCUCCAGGGUUGUUAAUAAAUAGUUAACCUGUCUAGAAUAUGUCUUCAUACAUAUGUCUAGCUACUUUCCGCUGCAAGAUGUUGUUGAUGUUAUAGUAUGUUAUGUCAUACUUUGAGUCUUAAGAGAAUGGUUGCAUAUGAUGUAUAACUUGAUUAAUGAUAUUAAUUAACUUUUAUGCAGUCUUUCA